rnacentral:snoRNA from 1 species
AAUCUGUGAUGUGGACAUUUCUGAAUUAACGUCUUAAAAUACUCCCAAGCUUUAUGAAAACUCUCUCCUCCUAACCGUUUAAAAAUAUAAAUUUCCCUUCUUAGUUG